rnacentral:rRNA from 1 species
AUACGGAGGAUCCGAGCGUUAUCCGGAUUUAUUGGGUUUAAAGGGUGCGCAGGCGGCCAUUUAAGUCAGCGGUUAAAUCGUGGGGCUCAACCCCACUCUGCCGUUGAUACUGCGUGGCUUGAUUGCGGUCGAGGUUGGCGGAAUUCGUUGUGGAGCGGUGAAAUGCAUAGAUAUCACGAAGAACUCCGAUCGCGAAGGCAGCCUUCCGGCCCGUCAACGACGCUCAUGCUCGAAGGUGCGGGUAUUAAACAGGAUUAGAUACCCUGGUAGUCCGCACAGUAAACGAUGGACACCCGCGGUUUGGCCUAUAUGGCUGAGCCGCCAAGCGAAAGCGUUAAGUGUCCCACCUGGGGAGUACGCCGGCAACGGUGAAACUCAAAUGAAUUGACGGGG